UACGGAGGGUGCAAGCGUUAUCCGGAUUCACUGGGUUAAAGGGAGCGUAGGUGGGCUGGUAAGUCAGUGGUGAAAUCUCCGGGCUUAACUCGGAAACUGCCGUUGAUACUAUCAGUCUUGAAUGUUGUGGAGGUAAGCGGAAUAUGUCAUGUAGCGGUGAAAUGCUUAGAUAUGACAUAGAACACCGAUAGCGAAGGCAG
rnacentral:rRNA from 1 species